rnacentral:rRNA from 1 species
UACUCGAGUGGCGAACGGGUGAGUAACACGUGGGUGAUCUGCCUUGCACUUCGGGAUAAGCCUGGGAAACUGGGUCUAAUACCGGAUAGGACCAUGCUUUAGUGUGUGUGGUGGAAAGUUUUUUCGGUGCAAGAUGAGCCCGCGGCCUAUCAGCUUGUUGGUGGGGUAAUGGCCUACCAAGGCGACGACGGGUAGCCGGCCUGAGAGGGUGUACGGCCACAUUGGGACUGAGACACGGUCCAG